rnacentral:rRNA from 1 species
AGAGUUUGAUCCUGGCUCAGGAUGAACGCUAGCUACAGGCUUAACACAUGCAAGUCGAGGGGAAACGAUAUUGGAAGCUUGCUUCCGAUAGGCGUCGACCGGCGCACGGGUGAGUAACGCGUAUCCAACCUGCCCAUCACUUGGGGAUAACCUUGCGAAAGUAAGACUAAUACCCAAUGACGUCUCUAGAAGACAUCUGAAGGAGAUUAAAGAUUUAUCGGUGAUGGAUGGGGAUGCGUCAGAUUAGCUUGUUGGCGGGGUAACAGCCCACCAAGACGAUGAUUGGUAGGGGUUCUGAGAGGAAGGUCCCCCACAUUGGAACUGAGACACGGUCCAAACUCCUACGGGAGGCAGCAGUGAGGAAUAUUGGUCAAUGGACGAGAGUCUGAACCAGCCAAGUCGCGUGAGGGAAGACUGCCCUAUGGGUUGUAAACCUCUUUUAUAAGGGAAGAAUAAGUUCUACGUGUAGAAUGAUGCCUGUACCUUAUGAAUAAGCAUCGGCUAACUCCGUGCCAGCAGCCGCGGUAAUACGGAGGAUGCGAGCGUUAUCCGGAUUUAUUGGGUUUAAAGGGUGCGUAGGCGGUUUAUUAAGUUAGUGGUUAAAUAUUUGAGCUAAACUCAAUUGUGCCAUUAAUACUGGUAAACUGGAGUACAGACGAGGUAGGCGGAAUAAGUUAAGUAGCGGUGAAAUGCAUAGAUAUAACUUAGAACUCCGAUAGCGAAGGCAGCUUACCAGACUGUAACUGACGCUGAUGCACGAGAGCGUGGGUAGCGAACAGGAUUAGAUACCCUGGUAGUCCACGCCGUAAACGAUGCUCACUGGUUCUGUGCGAUAUAUUGUAUGGGAUUAAGCGAAAGUAUUAAGUGAGCCACCUGGGGAGUACGUCGGCAACGAUGAAACUCAAAGGAAUUGACGGGGGCCCGCACAAGCGGAGGAACAUGUGGUUUAAUUCGAUGAUACGCGAGGAACCUUACCUGGGUUUAAAUGGGAAAUGCCGUAUUUGGAAACAGAUAUUCUCUUCGGAGCGUUUUUCAAGGUGCUGCAUGGUUGUCGUCAGCUCGUGCCGUGAGGUGUCGGGUUAAGUCCCAUAACGAGCGCAACCCUUACCGUUAGUUGCUAGCAUGUAAUGAUGUGUACUCUAACGGGACUGCCACCGUAAGGUGAGAGGAAGGCGGGGAUGACGUCAAAUCAGCACGGCCCUUACACCCAGGGCUACACACGUGUUACAAUGGCCGGUACAGAGGGCCGCUACCAGGUGACUGGAUGCCAAUCUCAAAAGCCGGUCGUAGUUCGGAUUGGAGUCUGUAACCCGACUCCAUGAAGUUGGAUUCGCUAGUAAUCGCGCAUCAGCCAUGGCGCGGUGAAUACGUUCCCGGGCCUUGUACACACCGCCCGUCAAGCCAUGGAAGCCGGGGGUGCCUGAAGUCCGUAACCGCGAGGAUCGGCCUAGGGCAAAACUGGUAACUGGGGCUAAGUCGUAACAAGGUA